AAGCAGGAUGGAGCCAGGAGACCUGGAGGAGGCGCAUGGAGCCUAGAGACACGUGAAGAAACUGCGCUUGUCUUUUGGUCGUGGACUGGGUGACACAGAUGUGGAGGGUGCAAGGACAAUAAGAAACAGAUAAAUGUAUACAGCCAUAAGGAUCCAUUUUUUCCUCAAGAGAGGUCCCAGUGGCCAGUCCCCGCACCCUCCAGCAGACCUUGGGCUGACCUGCCCUUCUCCAUCCUGCUGCAUGUCGCUGUUGGUCACUGCCCCUCUAACCACAUUUUCCCUUCCCUGCAUCUUCAUCCAGGAGCAAAGAAUGCCCAGUGGCCUUAGGAAAUAAAAGGAGUCAAGGAAGUUAAGAAGAAAAAGGAGGAGGAGCUGGAGAAGAGAAAGAAAAAGAAGGAAGGGAGGGAAGGGAAAAAGAGGAAAAGAAAAUCAUUCCUUUCCUAGAAAAAUGGUAGGAAUCUCUCUUCCUAAUGCUGGAGUUGAAAUAGCAGCAGAUGAAAUGAUGCGCAAACAAGCCCAAGGAUGAGCAGUCUGAAGAGCAUUUCAAACCCACUUAAAUUUCUCAGGAUAUACUACA